UACGUAGGGUGCGAGCGUUGUCCGGAAUUACUGGGCGUAAAGAGCUCGUAGGUGGUUUGUCGCGUUGUCCGUGAAAACUCACAGCUCAACUGUGGGCGUGCGGGCGAUACGGGCAGACUGGAGUACUGCAGGGGAGACCGGAAUUCCUGGUGUAGCGGUGGAAUGCGCAGAUAUCAGGAGGAACACCGGUGGCGAAGGCGGGUCUCUGGGCAGUAACUGACGCUGAGGAGCGAAAGCGUGGGGAGCGAACAGG
rnacentral:rRNA from 1 species